rnacentral:snoRNA from 1 species
GGUCUGUGAUGAGCCUUGGCAUGUAUUGCCCGAGUAUGAAUUUGAAGAUAAUCAGUUUAGCUCUAGAAUCACUCUGAGGCCUG